rnacentral:rRNA from 1 species
UACAUGUGGGGCAAGCGUUGUUCGGAAUUACUGGGCAUAAAGGGUGCGUAGGCGGUUUGUUAAGUCACAGGUGAAAGUUUUCGGCCCAACCGGAAAAUUGCCUGCGAUACUGGCGAACUUGAGUGCGUGAGGGGUAGGGGGAACGAGCAGUGUAGCGGUGGAAAUGCGUAGAUAUUGCUCGGAGGCCGGAGCCGAAGGGGCCCUACUGGUGCGCAACUGACGCUGAUGCACGAAAGCGUGGGGAGC